rnacentral:rRNA from 1 species
GGAGGUUACUGCUAUCGGUGUUCGCCUAACCCAUGCAAGUCAUAUGUUCUUCGUGAACAUGGCGUACUGCUCAGUAACACGUGAAUAACCUGCCCUUGGGACCGGCAUAACCCCGGGAAACUGGGGAUAAUUCCGGAUACCGCAUAUAUGCUGGAAUGCUUUAUGCGUGAAAUGGAUUCGUCUGCCCAAGGAUGGGUCUGCGGCCUAUCAGGUAGUAGGGGGUGUAAUGUACCUACUACCCUACAACGGGUACGGGUUGUGAAAGCAAAACCCCGGAAAUGGAUUCUGAAACAUGAAUCCAGGCCCUACGGGGCGCAGCACCCGCGGAAAA